UGCAGUUAAAGCUCGUAGUUGGAUUUUGGUUAAGAGGGCGCGGUCGGCCGUUUGGUCUGUACUGCGUUGUCUUGACUUCCUGAUGAGGACAUGCUCUUGGUUAACGCUGAGACAUGGAGUCAUCGUGGUUACUUUGAAAAAAUUAGAGUGUUCAAAGCGGGCUUACGCUUGAAUAUAUUAGCAUGGAAUAACACUAUAGGACUCCUGUCCUAUCUCGUUGGUCUCGGGAUGGGAGUAAUGAUUAAGAGGAACAGUUGGGGGCAUUCGUAUUUCAUUGUCAGAGGUGAAAUUCUUGGAUUUAUGAAAGACGAACUUCUGCGAAAGCAUUUGCCAAGGAUGUUUUCAUUAAUCAAGAACGAAAGUUGGGGGCUCGAAGUAGUAAAAAAUACCAUCCUAGCCCAACCAAAAAAACCCACGCGCAGGGGGGGGGGGGGAAAAAGAGCCCCCCCCCCCUUAAAAAAAAUUUUGGGUGCCAGUUUUGGGUUUGGGUUCCGGGGGGGAGAAUGGGUCCCAGGGCUAAAACUUUAAAGGGAAUUGACGCGAGGAGGGCACCACCAGGCCGUGGGAGCCCUGCGGCUUAAUUUGACUCAACACGGGGAAACUUACCAGGUCC
rnacentral:rRNA from 1 species